rnacentral:rRNA from 1 species
UGAGCUCGCGUCUGAUUAGCUAGUAGGUGAGGUAAUGGCUCACCUAGGCGACGAUCAGUAACUGGUCUGAGAGGAUGACCAGUCACACUGGGACUGAGACACGGCCCAGACUCCUACGGGAGGCAGCAGUGGGGAAUUUUCCGCAAUGGGCGAAAGCCUGACGGAGCAAUACCGCGUGAGGGAGGAAGGCUUUUGGGUUGUAAACCUCUUUUAUUAGGGAAGAAGAUCUGACGGUACCUAAUGAAUCAGCAUCGGCUAACUUCGUGCCAGCAGCCGCGGUAAUACGAGGGAUGCAAGCGUUAUCCGGAAUUAUUGGGCGUAAAGCGUCCACCGUGGUUUUACAAGUCUGCUGUCAAAGCGUGGAGCUUAACUCCAUAACGGCGGUGGAAACUGUAAGACUAGAGGUCAGUAGGGGUCACGGGAAUUCCCAGUGUAGCGGUGAAAUGCGUAGAUAUUGGGAAGAACACCAGCGGCGAAAGCGCGUGACUGGGCUG